rnacentral:rRNA from 1 species
GACGAACGCUGGCGGCGUGCCUAACACAUGCAAGUCAACUUGACUGAAGGAGCAAUCUGACAGUAGAGUGGCGCAAGGGUGCGUAACGCGUAAGUAACUUGCCCCAAGGUAAGGAAUAACGCCGAGAAAUCGGCGCUAAUACCUCAUAAUGCAGCGGAUCCGCAUGGAUAUGUUGUUAAAGGUUUACCGCCUUGGGAUAGGCUUGCGUCUGAUUAGCUAGUUGGUGUGGUAACGGCACACCAAGGCUACGAUCAGUAACUGGUCUGAGAGGAUGAUCAGUCACACUGGAACUGAGACACGGUCCAGACUCCUACGGGAGGCAGCAGUGAGGAAUAUUGGGCAAUGCUCGAAAGAGUGACCCAGCAACGCCGCGUGGAGGAUGAAGGUAUUCUAUAUCGUAAACUCCUGUGAGAGCAGACGAAAGACAGAUUAUUAAUACUGGAUGACUGUAUGCUCAGAGGAAGCCCCGGCUAACUACG